GACGAACGCUGGCGGCGUGCUUAACACAUGCAAGUCGAACGGAAAGGCCCUGCUUUUGUGGGGUUCUCGAUUGGCGAACGGGUGAGUAACACGUGAGUAACCCGCCCUUGACUUUGGGAUAACUUCAGGAAACUGGGGCUAAUACCGGAUAGGAGCUCCUGCUGCAUGGUGGGGGAUGGAAAGUUUCGGCGGUUGGGGCUCGAAUGGCGGCUUAUCAGCUUGUUGGUCGGGUAGUUACUGACCAAGGCUUUGACGGCUAGCCGGCCUGAGAGGGUUACCGGCGACCUUGGGACUACGAGACGGACCAGACUCCUACGGGAGGCAGCAGGGGGGAAUAUUGCACAAUGGGGGGAAGCGUGAUGCAGCAACGCCGCGUGCGGGAUGCCGGGCUUCGGGUUGUAAACCGAUUUCGACUGUGACGAAGCGUGAGUGACGGUAAUGGGUAAAGAAGCACCGGCUAACUACGUG
rnacentral:rRNA from 1 species